AAUCAACGCUGGCGGCGUGCCUCAGACAUGCAAGUCGAACGAUUAAAGCUCUCUUCGGAGAGUGUAUAGAGUGGCGCACGGGUGAGUAACACGUAAGUAAUCUACCCUCGAGUGGGGAUAACGUCCGGAACGGACGCUAAUACCGCAUAAUGCAGCGGCACCGCAAGGUGACAGUUGUUAAAGAUUUAUCGCUUGAGGAGGAGCUUGCGGCAGAUUAGCAGUUGGUAAGGUAAUGGCUUACCAAGGCUACGAUCUGUAACCGGUCUAAGAGGACGGUCGGUCACACUGACACUGAAUAACGGGUCAGACUCCUACGGGAGGCAGCA
rnacentral:rRNA from 1 species